rnacentral:rRNA from 1 species
CCUACGGGUGGCAGCAGUGGGGAAUAUUGCGCAAUGGGCGAAAGCCUGACGCAGCGACGCCGCGUGAGGGAUGAAGGUCUUCGGAUUGUAAACCUCUGUCAGCAGGGAAGAACGGUCACUGUGCUAAUCAGCAGUGAAUUGACGGUACCUGCAAAGGAAGCACCGGCUAACUCCGUGCCAGCAGCCGCGGUAAUACGGAGGGUGCGAGCGUUAAUCGGAAUUACUGGGGGGAAAGCGCGCGUAGGCGGUAUGUCAAGUCAAGGGUGAAAUCCCCGCGCUCAACGUGGGAACUGCGUUUGAAACUGGCAGACUGGAGUGUGUGAGAGGAUGGUGGAAUUCCAGGUGUAGGAGUGAAAUCCGUAGAUAUCUGGAGGAACAUCAGUGGCGAAGGCGACUAUCUGGCACAUAACUGACGCUGAGGAGCGAAAGCGUGGGGAGCAAACAGGAUUAGAUACCCGGGUAGUC